rnacentral:tRNA from 1 species
GCGCUCUUAGCUCAGCCGGUAGAGCAAAUGGCUCUUAACCAUUGGGUCAGAGGUUCGAACCCUCUAGGGCGUACCA